AGCCAGACUCCUACGGGAGGCAGCAGUGAGGAAUAUUGGUCAAUGGCCGCAGGGCUGAACCAGCCAAGUCGCGUGAGGGAUGACGGUCCUAUGGAUUGUAAACCUCUUUUGUCAGGGAGCAAAGGGCGUCACGUGUGGCGCUUUGCGAGUACCUGAAGAAAAAGCAUCGGCUAACUCCGUGCCAGCAGCCGCGGUAAUACGGAGGAUGCGGGCGUUAUCCGGAUUUAUUGGGUUUAAAGGGUGCGCAGGCGGAAUGUCGAGCCUGCUGUAAAAUUUCGGGGCUCAACCCCGUCGUGCCGUUGAAACUGGCGUUCUUGAGUGCGCCAGAAGUAUGCGGAA
rnacentral:rRNA from 1 species